CCUACGGGUGGCAGCAGUAGGGAAUCUUUCACAAUGGGCGCAAGCCUGAUGGAGCAACGCCGCGUGCAGGAUGACUGCCUUCGGGUUGUACACUGCUUUUAUAAGCGGGAAAUAUGGUGGUAACUUAUGAAUAAGGAUCGUCUAACUACGUGCCAGCAGCCGCAGUCAUCCGUAGGAUCCGAGCAUUAUCCGGAGUGACUGGGUGUAAAGAGUUGCGUAGGUGGCAUAAUAAGUAGCGAGUGAAAUCUGGUGGCUCAACCAUUCAGAUUAUUAGCUAAACUGUUAAGCUCGAGACCGUUAGGGGUAACUGGAAUUUCUGGUGUAGGAGUGAAAUCCGUAGAUAUUAGAAGGAACACCAAUAGCGUAGGCAGGUUACUGGGACGGUUCUGACACUAAGGCACGAAAGCGUAGGGAGCAAACGGGAUUAGAUACCCCUGUAGUC
rnacentral:rRNA from 1 species